rnacentral:rRNA from 1 species
UACGAAGGGUGCAAGCGUUAAUCGGAAUUACUGGGCGUAAAGCGUGCGUAGGCGGUUUCUUAAGUCUGCUGUGAAAGCCCCGGGCUCAACCUGGGAAUGGCGUCUGAUACUGGAUGGCUUGAGUUCGGGAGAGGGAUGCGGAAUUCCAGGUGUAGCGGUGAAAUGCGUAGAUAUCUGGAGGAACACCGGUGGCGAAGGCGGCAUCCUGGACCGAAACUGACGCUGAGGAGCGAAAGCCAGGGGAGCAAACGGG